rnacentral:rRNA from 1 species
UGCUGUGAACUCGAAGAGUAGGGCGGGACACGUGGUAUCCUGUCUGAAUAUGGGGGGACCAUCCUCCAAGGCUAAAUACUCCUGACUGACCGAUAGUGAACCAGUACCGUGAGGGAAAGGCGAAAAGAACCCCGGCGAGGGGAGUGAAAAAGAACCUGAAACCGUGUACGUACAAGCAGUGGGAGCCUCUUUAUGGGGUGACUGCGUACCUUUUGUAUAAUGGGUCAGCGACUUAUAUUCUGUAGCAAGGUUAACCGUAUAGGGGAGCCGAAGGGAAACCGAGUCUUAACUGGGCGUUAAGUUGCAGGGUAUAGACCCGAAACCCGGUGAUCUAGCCAUGGGCAGGUUGAAGGUUGGGUAACACUAACUGGAGGACCGAACCGACUAAUGUUGAAAAAUUAGCGGAUGACCUGUGGCUGGGGGUGAAAGGCCAAUCAAACCGGGAGAUAGCUGGUUCUCCCCGAAAGCUAUUUAGGUAGCGCCUCGUGAACUCAUCUUCGGGGGUAGAGCACUGUUUCGGCUAGGGGGCCAUCCCGGCUUACCAACCCGAUGCAAACUACGAAUACCGAAGAAUGUUAUCACGGGAGACACACGGCGGGUGCUAACGUCCGUCGUGAAGAGGGAAACAACCCAGACCGCCAGCUAAGGUCCCAAAGUCAUGGUUAAGUGGGAAACGAUGUGGGAAGGCACAGACAGCCAGGAUGUUGGCUUAGAAGCAGCCAUCAUUUAAAGAAAGCGUAAUAGCUCACUGGUCGAGUCGGCCUGCGCGGAAGAUGUAACGGGGCUAAACCAUGCACCGAAGCUGCGGCAGCGACACUAUGUGUUGUUGGGUAGGGGAGCGUUCUGUAAGCCGUUGAAGGUGUGCUGUGAGGCAUGCUGGAGGUAUCAGAAGUGCGAAUGCUGACAUAAGUAACGAUAAAGCGGGUGAAAAGCCCGCUCGCCGGAAGACCAAGGGUUC